AGUGAACGCUGGCGGUAGGCCUAACACAUGCAAGUCGAACGGCAGCACAGUAAGCUCUUGCUCUUACGGGUGGCGAGUGGCGGACGGGUGAGGCAUACAUCGGCAUCCACUUUUUCUUGGGGGAUAACGUAGGGCAACUUACGCUACUACCGCAUACGUCCUACCGCUGAAAGCAGGGGAUCUUCGCACCUUUCGCGACUGAAUGAGCCGAUGUCGCAUUAGCUAGUUGGCGGGGUAAAGGCCCACCAAGGCGACGAUCCGUAGCUGGUCUGAGAGGAUGAUCAGCCACACUGGAACUGAGACACGGUCCAGACUCCUACGGGAGGCAGCAGUGGGGAAUAUUGGACAAUGGGCGCAAGCCUGAUCCAGCAAUACCGCGUGGGUGAAGAAGGCCUUCGGGUCGUAAAGCCCUUUUGUUGGGAAAGAAAAGCAGCAGGUUAAUACCCCGCUGUUCUGACGGUACCCAAAGAAUAAGCACCGGCUAACUUCGUG
rnacentral:rRNA from 1 species